GGCUCCAGGGCGUCCCGGGCAGCCGCCCAUCCCAGCCCUUGCUGCCGUGCGAGCGCCCUGGCCGCAGCAGCAGUGCCACCCGCGGCCUGCGCCGCAGCGCUUAACGAGGUCAGCGAAGUUCUCUGUUACGACUUGUUAGCUAUUGUCAGAUGCCCAACUGUACAAGGAUGUGAGGUUCUAACUAAUUCAGAUGGCAGUACUGGAAUUGUUGCGGAGAAACAAGAAGAGACUUUCUGCAGGAAAGAACAAACAUUGCCUCAGUGGAAGAAAAAGGGAACAGAAGCAAACUGA
rnacentral:lncRNA from 1 species